CCAACAUGAAAGACCAUUGGACAUGUAGCUUCAUGACAUGAAUCCAUAUGUGAGACCAAGUUACUUAAUUUCAGUCUCAUAAUUCAUGAAAGAACCAUACCUUUACACAAACUCCAGCAAAAGAUAUCAAAAGGGUGACCUUCCAGUCCCAGGUACCAUUACAAUAACAGAAAUUCAUAGCAGAAAUCACCAUGAGACUACUAAAUAGCAGUGCACCCCACUUAACAAAUGCUCUCAGCAUCGAUAGAAGUCAGGGUAAGCUGCUAAUAUUCUAGCAAAUUAAUUAGCAUCCAUAGUUGCAUACAGAUUACAGAUAAACACACAUCCCAGAAAAGACAAUCCCAACAGCAUUGACAUAUUCUGGCAACAUGAAUUCAUCACCACUCCUGAGCAUGCCAACAUUAGGACCAAGCAAACCAGAAGCUUGUGAGAAUUCACAAAUCAGUGUG
rnacentral:lncRNA from 1 species